GUGUUGUAUGAAAGGAGAGAAGGUUAGCACACCCCUUGACAAGGACUGAAGAGGCUCUCAGGCCUGCACAACAAUUUAA
rnacentral:ncRNA from 1 species